CUGAAAAUUGCCGAGCUUGUCGAGGUUGUUGUUUGGUGACUGAGCCGACGCCGAAAUCGCCGAGGCGCAAAGAAACGCCGCGGCGGCAACCGAAUUCAGAGCAUAAUGUUUGAAAGCGUAAAACAUGAUUUUGUCCUCCCGGUAGGGUGNNNNNNNNNNUCAUUUUUGGCGUUUUACGAGGCGAGAGCCUAUCGCAGGUUUGCGCCGACGCAAGACGAUCCGCGCGCAAAUCAUUCUGGCGGCGCAACAUGAAAGAUUCCAUCGCGUGAUUGUGAUUUGCGAUUGCAACACCGCGCGACGCCUGCGUCCUUGCAUGGUGGGGCAAACAAAAAGGCCGCCCGGUAUCGGGCGGCCUUCCAUUUGUGCUUAGUUGUAAUGAAAUUAGCGG
rnacentral:misc_RNA from 1 species